GAUGAAGAACGUAGCGAGAUGCGAAAAGUAAUGUGAAUUGCAGAAUUCAGUGAAUCAUCGAAUCUUUGAACGCACAUUGCGCCCGCCAGUAUUCUGGCGGGCAUGCCUGUCUGAGCGUCAUUUCAACCCUCACGCCCCUAGGGCGUGGUGUUGGGGAUCGGCCAAGGCCCGCAAGGGACGGCCGGCCCCUAAAUCUAGUGGCGGACCCAUCGUGGCCUCCCCUGCGAAGUAGUAAUAUAUUCCGCAUCGGAUAGCGAUGAGCCCCUGCCGUUAAACCCCCAACUCUUUCAAGGUUGACCUCAGAUCAGGUAGGAAUACCCGCUGAACUUAAGCAUAUCAAUAAGCGGAGGA
rnacentral:misc_RNA from 1 species